rnacentral:rRNA from 1 species
CUACGGGUCGCUGCAGUGAGGAAUAUUGCACAAUGGGGGGAACCCUGAUGCAGCAACGCCGCGUGGAGGAUUACGCAUUUCGGUGUGUAAACUCCUUUUAUAUGUCAAGAAAAUGACGGUAGCAUAUGAAUAAGCACCGGCUAACUCCGUGCCAGCAGCCGCGGUAAUACGGAGGGUGCAAGCGUUACUCGGAAUCACUGGGCGUAAAGGACGCGUAGGCGGGUUGGAAAGUCAGGUGUGAAAUCCUACAGCUUAACUGUAGAACUGCACUUGAAACUUCUAAUCUAGAGUAUGGGAGGGGGAGAUGGAAUUAGUGGUGUAGGGGUAAAAUCCGUAGAUAUCACUGGGAAUACCUAAAGCGAAGGCGAUCUCCUGGAACAUUACUGACGCUAAGGCGUGAAAGCGUGGGGAGCAAACAGGAUUAGAUACCCUGUAGUC